GGAAGAGAAUUCACCAGAUUAAUAACUCAUGUAAAAACAUGCAGAUAUAGACCAAUCAAAUGUCCAAACAAAUCUUGCCCGCAUUUCCUCGCGAAAUGGUGUCUCGAUAAUCAUAUUGAGGAAUGUACUUUUACGUUGAUAACUUGUCCAUCAGUUGGAUGUGGGGAGAAAAUCAUAAGAUGCCAAAUAGAACAACACUUGUUUAAAUGUCAACAUCGCUCCAUUCUUUGCCAGAAUCACCAUUUUGAAUGCGAUCAACGACUUACAGGAAAAGAUUCAGAAAUUGAUUUGUUUGCUUCAUUAUUUUGCAAUAAAUGUGGCCAAGCGAUAAUGAAAAAAGACAUAAAUGAACAUGAAAAGUAUUGUGCGAAGUCUAAAACAAAAAGGAAGCUUUGUAAAAAGACAGUGCUUCGUGAAGAAGAACUUUUUCACUUAGACGCUUGUUUCAAGGCUGAAGUCUUGUUUCAAUGUCCAAACAUUGGUUGUGGUUUAACAAAUGAAAGAAACAAAAUUUUAGAACACAAGUCAAUCUGCUCACAUGCAAGUAUCGAUUGUCUAAAUUUUGAAAGUGGAUGCAAAACCGGAGAUAAACGAACGAAUAUGCAAAUUCAUACAGCAAAGUGUCCAUUGAGAACUGACAAAUUUGAAGACCAGAAAAGGGUAUUCAUGGAACAAGAUCACACUCCUCCAGUAGAGCAACCUGGUUCACAUUUACCGUUUCGUUCAGUGCAUUCUCCUCCGCAUGAACAGCUAAAAGAAA